GAUGAACGCUGGCGGCGUGCCUAAUACAUGCAAGUCGAGCGAACGGACGAGAAUCUUGCUUCUCUGAUGUUAGCGGCGGACGGGUGAGUAACACGUGGAUAACCUACCUAUAAGACUGGGAUAACUUCGGGAAACCGGAGCUAAUACCGGAUAAUAUUUUGAACCGCAUGGUUCUAAAGUGAAAGACGUUCUUGCUGUCACUUAUAGAUGUAUCCGCGCUGCAUUAGCUAGUUGGUAAGGUAACGGCUUACCAAGGCAACGAUGCAUAGCCGACCUGAGAGGGUGAUCGGCCACACUGGAACUGAGACACGGUCCAGACUCCUACGGGAGGCAGCAGUAGGGAAUCUUCCGCAAUGGGCGAAAGCCUGACGGAGCAACGCCGCGUGAGUGAUGAAGGUCUUCGGAUCGUAAAACUCUGUUAUUAGGGAAGAACAUAUGUGUAAGUAACUGUGCACAUCUUGACGGUACCUAAUCAGAAAGCCACGGCUAACUACGUG
rnacentral:rRNA from 1 species